UCUCCCGCACCACCGGCGAGCGGAGCCAUGUCGGGCCGGGAGGGCGGCAAGAAGAAGCCGCUGAAGCAGCCGAAGAAGCAGACGAAGGACCUGGAUGAGACGGAUCUGGCAUUCAAACAAAAACAGAAGGAGGAGCAAAAGAAACUUGAGGAGAUGAAAGCAAAAGCUGCUGGGAAAGGGCCUCUGGCCAGUGGUGGAAUAAAGAAGUCUGGCAAAAAGUAGCUUGAUCAAACUGCAGGGUAAGAAGUGGUCAAGUUACUGAAUGGACCUGCAGACUUUAGAGAGUCUUGAAAACGCUCUGUCAUUUGGGAAACAAUGUACAUUUUGUUUAGUCACAAUAAAUCCUUUUUGUUAAGAUGGGA